rnacentral:rRNA from 1 species
AUCAAAUACCACUAGUGGUACUGUUUUAUAGGUAACAGCUUUUUUUAGUAUUAUAAAGUAUAUUUAAGAGGUCCCAUCUCCGAAAGGGGGAUCGCUUGAAACUGCUGUUAUCAUUUUUAUUAGAUUACCUAAUAAAAAGCAUAUAUACAUUAGUAUAUAAUUUUCAUACAGUUGUUUUUCUGGGGCGGAGGCUCGUUAAAAAGUAACGCGAGCAAACAAAGGCUUAGAUAAAUCUCAACUGGAUAACUAAGCUUAACUGUAAGGAUCACACUCCGAGCAGGUGUAUUUUUAUAUGUAAUAUAUAGAAUAAAGCAGGUAGUAAUGACCCACUAUUAAAUUUAAUUAAAUAGUGAACAACGGACAAAAGGUACGCCAGGGAUAACAGGCUAGUGCGCACCAAGAGUUCAUAUCGACGUGCGCGUUCGGCACCUCGAUGUUGGAUCAUCGCGUCCUGAGGCUGUACAAGGUCUCAAGGGUUGGACUGUUCGUCCAUUAAAGCGGUACGUGAUCUGAGUUCAGAACGUUGCGAGACAGUUCGGUUUCUAUCUGUGUUUGCUAAUAAAUAAAUAAUUUAAGCUUAAAUUAGCUUUAUACUUAAAAGUAUAAAGCUUAAUUCAAACUGAUUUAUUUAAAAAGUAUAAAGUGUAUAGGGGUAUGAGUACGAAAGGACCAAUAUCCCCUAAACCUCUGGUGUAUUUGUUGUCUUAAUAAGAGGCAUCGCAAAGAAGCUACGUUUAUAAUUUUUAUGCACCUAAUACUAUUUUUCUACUUCCUUGUAGAUUUCCCUGUAAGUUAUUAUCAAAGUAAACUUAUAAUGAAUAACC